ensembl:lncRNA
UCUACCCAGCACGCGGAAAAAAAAGAAGAACUCACGAAAGAAAAAAAAAAAACUCGUCCGCUGCACAUAUACCACUGAUAUUACCGGGAGAUCCCUUCCUUCAGGUCGACCCGCUGCACUUAUCUGUCCUUCUCUUUAUUGCGUCUCCUUUGAGGAACAACAUUUGCAGUGCCGGUAAUCCACGUUCAAACUCGUAAUUUGACCGAGGUUCGGAAGAGCCAUCGCAGAAUGAGUGAGAGACACACAGGUUAUCCGGAUCCAAGACAGGAAAGAAAAACCAGCCCGUUCUAGAAGUUGUCAACCAACGUAGUCAGAUCGGACUGUUUUGGAGAGAGAUGACCGGUGCGUAUUCCCGGUAACGCACCGCUUGGCCACAGCGUCGUCUCGGGUCUGUGCGACGCCAAGAAUCAGACUGCAGACUGCCUCUCUCUCUCUCUCUCUCUCUCUCUCUCUCUCUCUCCCCCUCUCUCUCACUCCCCCUCCACCGCGGCCCUCUCCCCCACCACUUCACAUUUAUGAGUUAAAGGACAUUAACCGACUUAUUGAGUCAUAAACUAAUAUGGUCCAUUAGAUGAAUAUCUCUCGGUGAUAAUUAAAACAAUAUGCUAAUAUACUAAUAAUAACAAUACAAUUCUAACCAGUAAUUCUACCAAUUCACUAAGGUAAAAUCGAGGGGUCCACAACGAGGCCAUUGUCUCCAUCCAUUAAGUCCAAUCAUGGGCCCGCCCGGUGGUUUAACAUGGAUGUCCACUUUCUGCUCACCAGACGUGAAAUUGAUGCUUAACAGGCUGGAACCCUGGACCGUAAAUUUGAAUGUCAUUUCCACUUCUCCAUAUGAGGGUGUAAUUAGUUUUUCGCAAUGCGCCGUCCGUGGAAACAAUCGCGAUAAUGAAAUGCGCGUCGGCCUUCGACCCUGUUUUUAAGAUGGGGGGGGGUCAUAAAAAGUGUUACCGCAGCAUUCAAUUAAAUUGUGCCAACCCUGGUGUGCGCCUGCAGCUCAUGGUCAGGUUGUUUAGCAUUCUGUAGACUAAUAUGACACCUAUUAUCAGUCUGUUAAUGCCGCUGGUCUAUUUAUGCUCACGCACACGCAUUCUGCUGCGCGUGAGUUUGUUCUCCGAUAGCCAAUGCUGCGUAAUUGGUUUGUCCAGUUUAUUGUCAAAUUGAAAGAUUAUCCAAUUUGAAAAAUUAAAGAUAAUUCGGGAAGGUCCAAAGCCGCAAAAAGAAAAUGGUCGCCUUCUCGAUAAACCAAUAAACUGGUUUGAAGGGCUAAAUUGAAUAAAUAAUCAAAUCACAUGACAAAUUAAUUAUAGGGGCGAAUGUUACAGGCCAUAUCCAUUAAUGGAAGUUGUUCAGUGAAACCCAGAACGUGUUAUUUAAAUACAAGUGUAUUGACCAUUUUGAAUGACUUUAUAGCAUGAAACGUUUACCAGCUUUGCCAAAUGCAUUUGUGAACAAAUAGUGUCGAGGUAUUAGCAAGUUGGGCUUUUUUGAAUUGUGUUCACUAUUUUUUGCCUUCCAUACAUUGAUCACCAAGACAAACGAGUUUAAAAAAAAACGCAACUUUUACUUUGAAGGGGAAACCUUGCGUUUUCCGGCUCUGCACUUCCCCGACUCUUCUUAGCGUGAAUUUAAGUAACAAUCCGAAGGUUUUUUGCAUUGCACGUGUUCUUACAAUAGAACACAAGUCAGUGCCUCUAAACUGACAUUCUAGAGUCCUUUCGGUGUGCCAUGGCAACCCGCCAAAUAAUGUUUCCUUACAAAAAGCUGGUUAGAAAUAAACCAUCGGCCGGCCGUAAAGAAAAGCUUGUGCGUGUGGACAACAACACGGAGACAACAUGAUGCCGUGGGGAAGGUCUCGCAUCGCGACAGCCACUCCAAAACACUUGGUGGGUGCGUUCGCGCCGUUUCCGCGCUCCACGUGGAUCCACGCUGACGUCCCGCGGGACAACUACGACCGCAUCUGCGAAAAAAUCUGGAGAGCAGCAAACGAGGCCGAGGAGGAGUUUGGCAGAGGAGCAAGUCCACCAGAGAGGCAGAGGGAUGAAGAGGGCAGGAGAGUAGACGACACACCAACUCAUCGGGCCAAGGAGCAGCAGAAGGAGGCAGAUGACUUUGGUCUGAGCACACGCUACGAGGAGGACGCGCAGCGGCACCACACAGCCUUCGCACUUCCUUGCCCCCGUCUCUCGGGCCACAGACCUCCCCCUGUGGCCGAGCCUGCACGGGAACUGAAGCCUGUGAUGGAAAAAGAGAUGAAACGAGCCAGGGAGGCGAGAGGGAACGCGGGUUUGUCACGUCGGGAGGAAGAAGCGGGAGACGGACAAACUAGCGUGUCAAAUGACGUUAAGGGGAUCAUUGUCCCGGAAUCCACCGGCAGAGAAAACAGCUCUGAACCUCAACCUCAACCUCCGGCGCCGGAUCCAGUCUGCUCUGCCACUGCGGACCGAACCCUGCGCCUGGAGGAUGAUGAAGAUCCUCAGCAUGCUGCAUGCGAAAGCAGAGAUGGCGAGAAUACAACUAGCAGUUGCGACAGUGAUUCCAGCGAUGAUGAUGAUGAUGAUGAUUUUGUAAGCCUACCUGGGGCGAGAAGUUAUGCCACAGAUAACAGUCGUGGUGAAUCAGAGAGUGAAAACGACAGUGACGGAGAGAUAAGUGAGAUGUUGCGCUCACUUGAAGGAGCAUGUUCCAACAGCGAGCAGGAUUCCCUGUGUUCUUUCACAGCGGAAGACUUUCCACUCCUAUCUGCCACAAAGGCUGGCAACCCACCACGUCCCACGGAGCCCCCAGCCUGGGGGAAGAUGAAGAGCCACUGGGAGAUUCCCCUUUCAGCCUGGCCAUGCGACUUCCCCGCUGCCACUUUGGCAAGCUGCGUGACCGGCCGUGCCCAUGCUCCGGUCCGAGGCAAAGCCGGAGCACCUGAGGCGAGCUCGCUGAGCAACGCACCAGCAGCCCCAGAGGAGCAGCCUUACAACCUGCUGGCUGACUUCCCAGCCCUGCAGCCCUCAAAGAAACCUUUAGCACUGGGUGUGUGGCGUGAUGGGAAUCCAGAGACCAAGGUUGCGGAGGGGAACAGAGGGCACGCUCGCACAAAAAUCCAAUGCCAAGGAAGAGGGGGUUCCUGUCGGAGGAAAAUUCAAAUUGUUCCCCUCGAGGUCCCCUCCGUCUGCACACGAGAUCAAAAAUCCGUAGGCAAUUCUCCCACCGUCAGCGGCGAGGAACUGAAGGCCAGCAACCAGCCGACUCCUAGAGCAGUUUGCAGCGUCAUAACACAGCCCUGUGGAUUUAGCGGCACUGAGUCGAUCCCUCGAGGGGGCGCGGCCCAAAGAAUUCCCUUGCUGGGUACAGAUGGCGUGGACACCAAUGCCAGGUCCUGGGCCAGCGUUGCCAAGAUGGGCCUGGAGUAAGCAGCUGCCCCCCCGGAAGAAAGCCAGACCUUGUACCCUUCAGCAGAUAGUUACCGUUAACAUAGCCAAAGUUUUCAAAUGCCAUUUGCUCCCCGCCGCCCGUUUGUGCACCACCAGUGAGCAUUGAGGACUGAGGCGGGCGACGGCGGGCUUGAUAACCGGAACUCCUCGCCGAGCGGUCGGGGUGACUAUGAGCGGCUAACUGUCGCGACCCACUCUGUGUCGGACACAAGGCGGGGGGAGAGGUAGGGGCCACUGGUGAUAACGCAGCUGAGUGCACCUCUGAUCCCGAGGCGUCGCCCUGCGCCCGGACACAGUGGGGCGUCAACAGUCUGCACACAUUGUGUACGGCUAACAGCUAACCGAACCACCACUACACACACACACACACACACACACAGCUGACCACCUGUUGUCGUCCGCUGCCCCGCCGCCCCCUCUCUCUGAGUUUCAAGAACGCAUUUUUAACCAGCGGAACAAAUGUCUGACACGUUUCGUCGACCUCGUUGUGUCAAUUAAGCUGUAAACUAAUCUCCAUAAUAAAAUGUGUACUUUCGUAGCGAGCGCCUGACAAAUUGUGUUCCGUCUUGGCAAUAUCCAUUUCAUUAAGGUGAUACUGGUAUUUGAAUACAAACAAGGCUGCAGUUGUCUCACAACUCGGGUUGCCAGCGUGGCAGGUGUUCAAAUUGACGACGUCGGGCCAGCUGGAGCCGAUAUGAGUACCAACAAAAAACGGCGCGACUGGAGCAGUUUCACAAACUCUGCACGAGUCUGAACCGUUCCCUUUCUGGCGAUAUGCAAUAAAGAGGGUUAAGGGCGUUGGCACAUUUGUAUUAUUCUAAAAUAAAACCUAAUAUUACUCCUGCGGGAAUCACAGAACACGGAACCUGGAGGGAUGCUCCUUAUUAAAGGUGAUACUCAGAGCAUAUCCACAUAGAUUGAGGGAUUUCCUUCACACGCUAUGACGCUUUCAGCACUUUUUAUGUCAGAUUGCGACAGUGAUGCCGUUGGUUUUUCAAAAUGAACUUCAAACAUCUACUUAGUUGAGUAUUCUCUCGAGCGGGCUUGGAUGGACAGGAUACUACUACUACUACUACUAGAAUGCUACCCAAGUUCAUUAGGUCAAUCCAUUCCAAAUGCGGUGACUUCGGGUCAUUGUUUGCAACAAAUUCAGGACUUUGUUUCAAAAGAACGCUGUUAAAACUGAAAGUAUUCGAUCUCGUCGGUUUUUAGGUGUGUUUCUAGGUCGAGGAAAAGAAAGGCCUUGACGUCCACAAACUAUAUAAGCAAAGCACAGCAACACUCAAAUUAGAGGGAAUUAGAUUAGUAUGUUCUGCUUUAAAUGCUCAUAAUUUUAAAUGUUGCACAUUUAAGCCCAAGCCCGCCGAUAUUGUCCACCAAGCGUUUGUUUGAUGAAAUGCACCUUAUGUAUUUCUGUAAUUCAAGCACCUUGUUGACUUUUGAUAUCACAGCAGUUCUCUCUCUCUCUCUCUCUCUCUCUCUCUCUCUCUCUCUCUCAAGAGUGCUUUGCAUUCGGACGCCUAAUGAGCUAAUAUGCUAAUAAGCACGCAUGCAAGCUCUCAGCUAAUUUUCACUUUUGUUUCUGAUUACAUAUUGCGUAAUAAUCACUUAAAUUAUGCGUAAUGUAUGUUAAAUAUCAAGUCCUGCAUUAAACGCAAUCUAUUUUCAUCAAUUGAUCACAGCUAAUGCCAUUGUUCAUUGGUGUGGUUGAGUUGCGGCAAAUUGACUGAUUUGAUCGACAGAGACGCUGCGCUGGAGAAUCACAGCGACCACCAGACCACUUAGAAUUACACCGGCAAGCCGCUCAAAUCUUCUUCAGCUGAACAAAUUGCUUCGGACACUGACACAAGAACAAAUUAUUUCUCAAGGUCCAGAAAAAUAUUAAAACAGCUUUGAAGAAAUCUUAAUGAGUGCAAACUCUCAAUAGAGCAAGGACGCCCUUUAUGUUUUUGAAUAUCCAUGUAAAAUAUGAGGAAGAGUCACAGCUCUGCUUGACCAAAUGUUUCUAAGACGACGCACUGAGAAAACUGAGAUUCCGAAACGACAAAGAAGACAUGAAUACAACAGAAGAGAAAAGAAAGCAGUGUGCAGAAAUAUCUCACCAGGUCUUGUGUUUGUGUUAAAACUAAGUGAAAUACUAUAGAUUACCUAAUGAGGGCCUUAAAAAGCUUGGCACGUCCAGCACCAUCUCCGCUCCAUGCGCACGUGCUUGCUGAAGGCUUUUUGUGUAUGCAACCAUGCAACCAUAUGAAGGAAAAGUCAGCAUUACGGUGUCUCUGCCGGCCUCUCCCUAUCUUUCCUCAGUGGCAUUUGGGUAUUUGCUUUGCCGGUCCUGAGGUCUCACAAGCCUUGGAGACGUGAGAGAACCUUUGUACAUCAUAGCCUUCAGCGUCCUACCUUGCCGAGCAAGAGAAGGUAUAGGGAAGGACGGUGGGAGGGAGAAAGGGAGGACAGGGGGGGGAGACGAGGAAAGCGCAGAACAAGGGAGCAUAAAAAGCAUUCAAUUAAGACAUGAACUGGAGGGUUCAUUAAGCAUGAGCAAGCCGAUGAAAAUGACCAUCCAUCAAGAGAGAGUGCUGUGGCAGCGCUGAGAAGAGCGUGCAGGCAUCCGCCCAUUGGACAUACUCAAUUACUAUGGUGAGGAGAGAAAAAAUGCUCAUACUUGCCUGUUUGAAGAAGAAUGAAAACUAAUAGCACGCAGUAUAUAACUGGUGUAAACUGGAGUGAGUCAUAUAUUGAUUAUUCUAUAGACUUUGUGGCUUUCCUCCACUUAGUCUCACGUUGUGCCAUAAAAAAAGGGGUUUUAAGAGGGAGCAUUAAUUUUCCUGCUAAAAUCCAUUUUUUUCUUCAACUAAUUAAAAUGGUCCUACCAUUUGCUAUUUUACUGUACUACUUGUUGUCUACUUCAGCAGCAUCAUUGAGUGCUCCUGUGAGAUAAAGGGCUGAAUUUAAAUUUGCUUUGCUUCUACACAAAUGUCCAAAAUAAUCAGGGCGACUGCUCUUUCAAACAAGCCGUUACAUCAAGUUUUUAUAAAAAGAUACGCAUGUCCAAUGACCCUACGCACAUUGUGAAAUGAAGAUCGUUAAAAAACAUUUCCAAAUAAAUUAUAUCCUGUCAGAUUAGCAAUGACUUUUCAGGAGUUGUAGUUGUGAAGGUGUUAUAUGGAGAGAAAUCAAUGUGCGGCAAUAGGCCUUUUGAGACUCAUCCCCAAAAUCCCGUCCCACCCAUUUCCCCAGCACCAAAAGGCUCACACGUACACAUCUGAGGGACUGCGGUGCCUCAGUGUGGCCUUGCCCUCAAAAAACUCAAAGCUCUCACCCUUUUUAGCGGGUUCAGCUGUCACCGAAUGUGCUCUUAUUCCAACAACACACACCAGAUUCUUUCUUUUGAAAGUCUUUGUGCAAAGGGAUACAGCUCCUGGAUUUCUUUGUUUGUGGUUCGAUUGGGAAUGUGUGCUUUGGCCCUUUUUAAAUGAUCUUCCUUGAGAGCUUGGGAACCUGUAAAGCCCAAUGGUCACAGCAUCUGUUUGAGGCCAAAAUGGAUCUGUAUUCUGCACUUGGUGUGUCCUUGUACUAUGUGCAUGUGGAAAUAUGUGUCCCUGUGAAGAAAACGCCUGUUUGUAAAAACUCAUCCAUCGAGUGCUCUGAAAAUAAUUAAAAUACAUAUUUUGUAAGUGUCUUGAUUUUUUCUUCAUCCUGUCUGAAUCAAUCAUGCGGCUUUCAUCCAGACUAAAAAACCUGCACUCAUACUUAAUGGACACUGCAUUGAAAAGGACAAACACUCUAAACAUAAACUGCCUGAGUGUAGGUGAGAAAGUCAUUUUUGGAUGACGAUGGUGGACUAUGGAGCCCAAAGCUGCAUCAAGAGAUGCUAAAACAUUAGUUUCGGCACUUCUCACUGGAUCUAUUGAUAGUAAAACUUGGGAAAAUUAUCCCAAAAAUUAUUUUUUUUAAUAAUGUGACUAGAAUGGAGCCCAGCCAAGCGACAGUUUCAAGGGACACUUGUCAAAAGUAUUGCCCACUCGGCACCAUUUGCUCCUUUGAGCUUUCGAUUUAUUGGUCCAGUUAUUGAGUUGUUCCAGCCGUAUGAACUAGCUGUACACCGACUAAACUACACUGCAUGUUAUCGACUGGCCAACUUACUCAUAUAAAGUCACUUUGAUGCUUGCAUCUUCAUCCCUGGUCAAACACAGCUAUUUAUAUUAUGUUUCACUUUAUGUAUCACAAAAGGUUUAGGCAAUGCUUUCCACACAAUAAACAAUUAGCCCAUUAUUCUAGGAAUCAUGAACAUAAUUCAACAUGAUUCAUGUACAUCACAACAUUAAGUGCUUUUGCAGGACCUACAGUAGUUUGACCUAGAUCACAUUAAAUAUUUAAAGCCAAGGCAACAUGUUUGUGGUAGCGUUCCAUAGAUAACCAUGUUAAGCCCGGCCAAUA